GUGAACGGCGUCCAUACACCUCAUAGCUCAGUGAGCAGUCCUUCCCGCUCCGAUUGCUUACUUGGCUGCACUCGAUCUCCAUGCAUUGGACUUGCGUUCUCGCCGAGGAGUCGUGUGUUCACUGAACCUGCCGCGGCCUUUUUUUCUCAUUGUUCUUACCCCGUCUAUGCAAAGACGCAUUUGAGCGAUCAGCGCUCUUUCCCCAGGACACCGUGCAGAGCGCAGCCUCGGGCUUCGCCUCCCGCCUCGCUCCAUCCCUCCCGCUCCCAGGGCCCGCGGGCAGGGGCCGCAGUGACCCACGGGAACGGCCUCCCGCCUCCCGCCUCCCGCGUCCCCGCGGCCGAGCCUCCGGACGUCGCCGCUCAGGACCCUCGGCGAGCCCGGGAGCCGCUGUACGGCGGAGCCUCGGCAAGAUGGCCGCGCCCAGCCGGCUGCCCAGGGGCGCCGCCAUGGCAGCCGCGGGCCCGGCUGAGGCCGCGCUCCAGCGCCGCCAUGUCGGCCUCGGCCUGCGAGCGGGUGCGCACAAAGCCGGAGGGCGUGGGCCCGAGGGGGAGCGCGGGGACGGCCGAGGGGGCCGGGCGUCCCGCCGAGAUGGCUGCGCCCCAGCCGGGGGGCAGCGCCGCGAUUUGGUGGACACGAGCGGGAGCCCGAGUGGGUGACAGUGGUUCUGCUUUGGCCAUGUCAGGACGCCCAUUAGAUGUCCAGGUGAGGAAUGGGUAGUUAAAUGUAGGAAUCUAUUUUUCAAAUAUUUUAUUUAUUUAUUUGAGGAGGGGAGAACCAGUAAGGGAGAGAAAGCACAGGCAGGGCAGGGUGGGGGAGGCGGAGGCAGAGGGGGAAACAGACUGCCUGCUGAGCAGGGAGCCCCAUGUGGGGCAUGAUCCCGGGACCCAGGGAUGUGACCUGAGGCUAACACUUAACCAGCUCAACCACCCGCUCCUAAAUGUAUGAAUCUAGAACUCAGGAGAGGUUUGGGCUGGAGAAUCCAAAUGUGAAAGGCAUCAGCAUAAAGAUGGUAUUUAAAGCCAAAGGAUUGGAUAAGAUCAUUUAGGGAGAGAAGGCAGAGAAGAAAAGAAGACCAAGGACAGAGCUCUGGGUCACUCUGACAUGUAGAGGUUUGGUAGAGAACAGGAAAAAAAAAAAAAAAAAAAAAAGGAGAAGGAGAAAGAAGGAGGAGAAGGAGAAAAAGAAUGAAGAGUAGUAGCCACUGAGAUAUGAUGAAAAUCGUAAAUGUGGGGUCAAAGAAGCAUAAAGAAGAAAAAUUUUCAAGACAAUGCAACUUGUGUUGUCACAGUUGUGUCCUAUGCUCUUAUUAAUCCCAGACACAUGACUGCAGAGAAUUUGACUUUGGCAAGAUUGUAGCUCAAUGGUUAUUUUGAUUGAUUAGAGCUUUUUUAGUGGAGUGAUAGGGAUAAAAUCCUGCUGGAAUGAGUUGAAAGGUAAUGAAGUAGAGACAGCAAGUUUAGACAACACCAGGAGUUUUGCUGGUAAAAGAGCAAAUGAAUUGACAUUGGUUGGGACAUGGAAUUAAGAAAUGGUUUUCAUGGGGAUCCCUGGGUGGCUCAGCAGUUUAGUGCCCGCCUUUGGCCCAGGGCGUGAUCCUGGAGUCCCGCCUUGGGCUUCCUGCAUGGAGCCUGUUUCUCCCUCUGCCUGUGUCUGUGCCUCUUUCUCUCUCUGUGUCUAUCAUGAAUAAAUAAAUAAAAUCUUUAAAAAAAUUUUUAAAA
rnacentral:lncRNA from 1 species